GCCCGCAGCGCCGUGAGGGAGCAGCGGCCGGAGGGGAAGGUGGACACGGCACGUGGGGUGGCAGUUCUCUGCAUCCCGUCUGCACCGACCUCAUCCUGCAUUCCGCACCCUUCCCCGGGCUAAGAACCACAAUAACACAGCAAGCAUAUGGUUCCUAAUUAAACGCCGAUUUAGGGAGAUAGAGCUGUGCAUGGAAUACGUUUACAGUGGCCUAUAUACUCCCAUCCGACUGGCAUGCAGAGCCGGGAGGAGGCUGGAACUCUGUGUGGCAUUUCUAAUCACAUAAAGAUUUCUUCAAAGCUACCAGAGCUUGACCACUGAUGCUCUUGCCUUGAGGGAGAGUUGUAAGCUCGUUUGCAAGGGAGAAAGAUAGACAGACAGACAGAAAGGAAGAGGACAAUUGGCGUAAAGUCAAUUUUUAAUGAGGCAGGAUUUCUCUAGCCUGUGCUUUGAUACUCAACUUUGCUUCUGACCAGGAUCCACUUCAAACGACAGAGGCGAUAUUUCUCUGGCACUAAUCUAAUUCUUCAUCCUAAUUGCAUUUGGCAGAGCUGGGUCUGAACAGUGCCGCCUUGUGGCAUCGUUCAGAGCGAUAAACAGGAAUUCUGAGCUGCCAUACGUCUGCUUCCUUCAGCAUGCUCUGCUCAGCAUGGGAGUUUGACCAGGCAAAAGGGGAUGAUCGUGGCACUGUCUGGGGCAGCCUGAAAAGACAGCCUGGCUAGCACGGCAGCAUCUCUUGAGAGAUUUCAAAUGUCUCUGCCAUUUCUCCACAUGCAUUGCUGAGGUGCCUUCAUGCACAGAGUUUGUAUGCACACACAGUGCUUUCUGGAUCGAUCCGACCUGCAGCACAGGCUCUCAGUUCAGCCCUGUGCUAUGUGUGCAGUAUUCCCACCAUCUCAAGCUCUCUGGACACGAGCUACAUGGAGUAUCCUGCAUGUGGAUAACGGGACCCUGAGCUGUGGUAUGGCAGGAUCUGACAGAGCUCCAACAGAGGCAUGCAAAUCUCCUGACAAACAUAUAUUGUCAAACUUCCCAACACCUUCCUGAGACAGCUGCAUCAUCACGGCCUUGUCGUUCAACAGUGAGAGACAAUAUCCAAUGGCUGUGUGGCAUUGGAUGGAAAAUGUUAUAAUUAAUAAUGCUCAUAGUCCAUUAUCAUGGCCUGAGCAAAAAAAUCAGCUUUGGCAUUUCCAUUUUCUGUGCUAAUGUGUACCAUUUUAUUUUUUUCUACACUUUUCGAGCAUAGAAGGUACUUAAUAUAUUUGAUAUGAGUAUUUUCCCUGCAAAUUUUGUCUUAACUACUCUUCCUUCUUUAAUAAUUCUCCCAUGCUACUGAUUUUAUUUCCUCCUGCUACCCUUUCAGUCUUGUCUUCUCUUUCUCCUUUUGUUUCCAGUUUAUGUGAUUCCAGAUUACUGAUAGUUUUACAAGGCACUGCACCAGCCCAGAGAGAGACACAGAACAGAAGAGAGCCCAUAUCCCUGCUGUGGGCAGAAACAUGACAACCCCUGUCCCAGAGUGACCGAACCAGGAGAACAGAGCUCAUGAUAGAGACACAGAAAGCCAACAGAGGAGUUUUAUAAACUUACAGUGUUUAAAGUAGCUUGCCACAAAAUAAAUAUCUGUUUCUCUGCAGAUUUAGCUGUGGAAGCAGAGGAUCUCCUUGGAGAUAGACAGAAAUCAAUGUCUGGUCCAGAGCUGGCACUCUGGAGAGAUGACAGAAGCAGCUCAGUCGAAGAAGUAGAAGCUCCGGGAAUGGAAAUAACUCACUACAGUGGAAAUUUGUGAAUAGAAUCCUAAAAGAUACUUAAUCUGGCCUUUUUCUAGGAGCUGUGGAGACAACAAACCAGGGCUUGAGAACAAGGCAUUGGAAGGGGCUGCUCAGAGAGGUGGUGGAGUCACCAUCCCUGGAGGUGUUCAAGAAACAACUGGAUGUGGCACAUCAGCCCAGUGCACAGCAGAGGCCUCGCCUGGGCCAUGGAUUUACUGCCUUUUUAGGGUCUCAUUGUGAGUUUGUAAGAGCUGCUGUCCCUGACACAGCGUCCAGGCACGUGGAACCCACUCCUCCCUCCCUGUUCAACGGUGACGAGAUUGUCUCAGGAUGCUGUUGUGAGGUUUGACCAUACGUGUUUGUUGAGGCAUUAGUGCUGUGUCAGAUCUGUGAUACCACAGUUCGGGGUUCUUUUAUCCACAUGCAGCAUAUUCCGUGUAGCACGUUUCCCAAGAGCUUGGCACGGUGGAAAUGUGGAUGCGUAUCCGUGCCGAGAGCUGUGCUGCGGGGCGGAGCUGUCCUGGGUGUCCCUGCAGACAUCACUGGGUGUAGCUACACCUGGGCAGCUGUAUUCAGGAAAAAAACACAAUUACGUUUUUGGACUUCCUCGAAUCCUACCUCAUCUCUUACUCUACAUUUAUUACAGUUUCUAUUAUCCGUAAAGGCCCCCCAAACCGAAUCAAAUUAAGCGGGAUAAACCCCCGCAGCAGGACUCGGGGUGCUGCGCUCACAGGGGGCUGCGGGGACACGUCCCCGGGGAAGCCGCGGGGCAGCGGAGCGGGAGGUGUGGGCAGGGCCGGGGC